rnacentral:rRNA from 1 species
UACGAAGGGGGCUAGCGUUGUUCGGAAUUACUGGGCGUAAAGGGCGCGCAGGCGGUCCUUCAAGUCAGGCGUGAAAGCCCCGGGCUCAACCUGGGAAUAGCGCUUGAGACUGAGGGACUUGAGUUCGGGAGAGGAGAGCGGAAUUCCCAGUGUAGAGGUGAAAUUCGUAGAUAUUGGGAAGAACACCGGUGGCGAAGGCGGCUCUCUGGCCUGUUCUUGACGCUGAGGCGCGAAAGCUAGGGUAGCAAACGGG